ACUCCAAUUUCUCUUUUAUUUCUCCUUGUAAUCCAGACAAGUCUUGCAUGUUUUCUGCUCCAUUCUUUGGGUCAAGAACACACUGGUUAAUAGCCAAUUAUUUCAUGCCCUAAGGAAGUUUUGGGGAGAAGUUCCUGGGAAGAGUCAACUUGUUUUGGGAAAUGAGACUAAUAUUAAGUGAGAUAUUUCCCUUUGCUCUCCUUUUUAAUACUGUCCCAUCGCAGCACAAGGCUGAAUUUAUUGCUAUAAUAGCUGUGAUUAAGAUAAAGCAUAAUAGUUUCCCUGAAUUGGUUGUUGUUUUUUUUUUUUUUUCUUCUUCACAAAAAUUGAAGGUUUAGCCAGGGCUUCGUAGCAAAAUUUGUUAGGUAAUUAAAUUCUGCUUACUGAAAAUCCCCCCGUUUUUAGAAUCUAUCCCAGAAUACAGCUUCCUUUUCCUUUGAGCACUUUUAAAGGACUAAUUCAUUUUAAAUUCACAGCUCUCCAAAUUCUGAAGCCUGCUGAAAUUUUCCUUGACAGCCUAAACCAGAAUGUGCAGCUCCGCCUGAGGCAUCUAAAGGCUACUGAAAGUGCAGGAACUCUUCAUAAAGGAAAACCUGCAUGGGCAGUCACCCUGGUUUCCCUACAGCUUUUCCCUAAGACUAAAAUUUGCUUAAGGAAAGUUUCAAUAAGAAGACAGAUUCGAUGGCUGAGUCCCACAGAACAAGGGGCUGGGAAGAAAGAGCUCUUCAGCUUCUUCUGCGCCACUCUGGACACCAGUUACUGCCCCUGUGCCAUGUCUGCAUUUUGUGGGGUCAUUUAUGAGGCAGAUCAAUGGAUUGAUCCCCGCUAAGAGUAACCAGUCAGGAAGAUCAAUUAACACACUGAAAGACUUCUAAAUUUAAUCGCUCUGACCCCAGACUAUCCCAAGCAGUCUUUGCAUGGCUGGCAGUACAGAAGGAAUGGAUUUGCCAUAGCCAGUUCAAUCCAGGAACAGCAAGUGAAUGAGAAGACACCAGGAAAGUGUACAGAGGAAGCAAAAAUACAAAGGACAAGCACAUACCAUUUUCUGUCUUCCAGAACCAAACCUUAAAAAUCCCUGAGGCUUUCUGGUGUGAGAAGAUGUAUGUAGGUGGUGACAAGGGGUUUCAAGGCCAUGGUUGCCAUGGAAAAUGGAGGUGAUCUCUUGACUCUUUGUGUGAUGGAUGACUGAAAGAUGUGGGACUGGCUCAGAUCAGCCACUUUGGGCCUCAUGGUUUUAAUAAGAUGAUUCUAGACCCAAGUAACCAAGAGGUAUGAGGAGCAAAACUUAGGUAUAAUUCAGGCUGGCUGAAUCUGAAAACACAUUGUUUUCUUCUACUGUUAACAGGCAGCUUUUUUCUCUGCUGUUGGAACAGUAAGCAGCACUUCAAUCUCACUCAACACCCAAGUAUGAACACUUUCCAGGUGAGAAAAGGGUGAAAGAGUAGCUACUAUUUGCUCUGCUUGCUUAUUAGAAGGUGACAUAUGUGUUGGGUGCUGGAUCAUCAACUGCCUUAUGAUAUGUGUUGCAGUCAGCCAAAGCAGAUGUUAAAAAUAGCAUCUCAUUCAGCUGGGAGAGUGUAAACUGUGCAUUCAUACACUUUGCUGAAUGUAUAUGAAUAUGCAAGGUGCUGAGCAACAGUGAAUUCUUCCUGAAAUCUUUAAUCUGCAUACCUAUGGUAUUUAGGGUGUAUAGAAGGCAAAUUAGAUCUGGGCAGAGACAGAAGUUAACCAUUUCCCCAAAUUCUGAUUUCUGUUUGACUGAUUCCUUCCAAUCUAUCCCCUAUGAGAGGAUAGUACCUUAUUAUGACUUUGAAGCCUGACUUUUUCAGUAGGGUUAUGUGUUUUAAAUGAUAAUUUAUUUCAUUCCAGGGAAUUCCAUGAUUUGAUAACCACAGUGAAGAAAGUGUAAGAACCAUUUGGGUUGAAAGGACAUGAGUUUAGAGCAAUCACAACACCUUUUUCCUCAGUACUAUAAUUGUGUAAAUAUGGAUUUGUAGAAACAUACAGCUGAGGUGUGGAGGUGGGAAAGACGAUGUUCUUGCCCAGGGGAAGAUAUAAACAUGUGAUAUAAACAUUUUUCUCAUGAAUACACCUAUUCCUGUACUGUUGUGUCAUAUUUAUCCUUUUAAAUGUAUGCAUGCUUUGGAAACCGAAGUAAAGGCUACACCUCAAUUGUCUGAGCGAAAUAUUAACUCCUUAGUAUUUUAUUUGUAUUUGGAAAUCUGAAAUAAGAGAGUGCUGUGUUAGUACACUGGUGUUUAAAAGCUGUUUUACAACCAGCUUUUCAUUCAACUUAAGCAAUAACAAUUAUGCAUGUUAUUAAUCUAUAUUUUCUUCACAAUAUGAAGUUAAAGUUUUAAUUUUAAAUUUAUAAUUUCUAGUCAGAUGAAGAUGCAGGGGUGGAAGAUUAAAAUUUCUGGGCUGGACAAUGAAAUGCCUGAGGAGUCUCAGACAUUUUUGGUCAAGGGCCAUUCCUGUGAAUUGUAGGCACAUGGUCCUACCCCCACAGCCUUGUGAGUAGUCUUGGUCCAGCAGUCACAUGGUGGAGGAAAUCAUCCAGCCUCUGCCCCAUAAACUACCCAAAUAAUGAGGGUAAAAUGUUUUGUUUGUCUAAAUCAGUUCUUGCUCUGUGGCAGUGGGAAUAAGGCUGCUCAGCCAGAGAGGAGCUGUGAGGCUGGAGAGGUUCUCCGAGGACUGUCUAUGUACUUAGCUAGAUGAAUAGUGAGUCAGUGGGGCAUGGGAAAACAGCUGCCACAUUUAUCUUCCUCACACUAGCAACUGAGAGUCAUUACCAGGAUCCUAAUACACCAAAGGAUACUUUGAACACAGAUGAUCCUCAUUUAUUUGUCUACACAUACUUAAAAUGUUGCUUUGUGAUGUAAGUUACUGGCACAGGAGGAAGUGUUUGGGCUGAAGUUAUUUUAGGGACCAUUUAAGUGCAAGAGUUUAAAGCUGAUUUGUUCUUUUCCGAUAUCCUCUUUCUCAUUGUACCAUAGGGAACCUGUUUUUGUGAGCCAAUCAUCAUUUUUCUUAAACAUAUAGAGAAAUUAUGAAGGAUAAUUAAAUCUCAGGGGCACCUUAAUUGCCCCAAUUACUUGGCCAGUUUUGACAGCCAGAUCUGAUGAAGAGAGGGAGGAAGGGAGAUCUGUAGAUACAAGACAACAUUUCAGGUGGUACUUGGACAAUA